GAUGAACGCUGACAGAAUGCUUAACACAUGCAAGUCGAUGGGGAAGUGGUGCUUGCACCAUGGCAACCAUGGCGGACGGGUGAGUAACGCGUAAGGGACUUACCUGCAGGACUGGGAUAACAGGGGGAAACUCCUGACAAGACCGGAUAAUGUCAUGGAGCUGCAUGGCUUUAUGAUGAAAGGAGACGCCUGCGGAGAGGCUUGCGUCCUAUUAGCUAGUUGGUGAGGUAAUGGCUCACCAAGGCGAAGAUAGGGAGCCGGCCUGAGAGGGUGGACGGCCACAAGGGGAAUGAGAUACAGCACUUACUACUACGGGAGGCAGCAGUGGAGAAUAUUGGACCAUGGGGGCAACAGUGAUGAAGCAAUUCUGUGUGCACGAAGAAGGUUUUCGGAUUGUAAAGUGCUUUCAGCAGGGAAGAAGUAAGUGACGGUACCUGAAGAAGAAGCGACGGCUAAAUACGUG
rnacentral:rRNA from 1 species